UACGAAGGGGGCUAGCGUUGUUCGGAUUCAUUGGGCGUAAAGGGCGCGUAGGUGGCGCGGGAAGUCAACGGUGAAAGCUCAGGGCUCAACCCUGAGUCGGCCGUCGAUACUCCCGGGCUCGAGCACUGUAGAGGCAGGUGGAAUUCCGGGUGUAGCGGUGGAAUGCGUAGAGAUCCGGAAGAACACCGGUGGCGAAGGCGGCCUGCUGGGCAGUUGCUGACACUGAGGCGCGACAGCGUGGGGGAGCAAACAGG
rnacentral:rRNA from 1 species